rnacentral:rRNA from 1 species
UACGUAGGGGGCGAGCGUUGUCCGGAUUUAUUGGGCGUAAAGAGCUCGUAGGCGGCUUGGCAAGUCGGGUGUGAAAACUUUGGGCUUAACCCAAAGCGUGCACUCGAUACUGCCAUGACUAGAGUUCGGUAGGGGAGUGGGGAAUUCCUAGUGUAGCGGUGAAAUGCGCAGAUAUUAGGAGGAACACCGGUGGCGAAGGCGCCACUCUGGGCCGAAACUGACGCUGAGGAGCGAAAGCGUGGGUAGCAAACAGG